rnacentral:misc_RNA from 1 species
GAUGAAGAACGCAGCGAAAUGCGAUAAGUAAUGUGAAUUGCAGAAUUCAGUGAAUCAUCGAAUCUUUGAACGCACAUUGCGCCCGCCAGUAUUCUGGCGGGCAUGCCUGUCCGAGCGUCAUUUCAACCCUCGAGCCCCAGCGGCCCGGCGUUGGGGAUCGGCCCCGCCCCCGUGGCGGUCCGGCCGUCCCCCAAAUAGAGUGGCGGUCACGCCGCAGCAUCCCCUGCGCAGUAGUAACAUCUCGCAGCCGGAGCGCGGCGCGGCCACGCCGUGAAACCCCAACUCUUCAAUGGUUGACCUCGGAUCAGGUAGGAAUACCCGCUGAACUUAAGCAUAUCAAUAAGCGGAGGA